rnacentral:rRNA from 1 species
GACGAACGCUGGCGGCGUGCUUAACACAUGCAAGUCGAACGGUGAAGCUCCAGCUUGCUGGAGUGGAUCAGUGGCGAACGGGUGAGUAACACGUGAGCAACCUGCCCCUGACUCUGGAAUAAGCGCUGGAAACGGCGUCUAAUACUGGAUACGAGAAGGGUCCGCAUGGGCACUUUCUGGAAAGUUUUUCGGUUGGGGAUGGGCUCGCGGCCUAUCAGCUUGUUGGUGAGGUAAUGGCUCACCAAGGCGACGACGGGUAGCCGGCCUGAGAGGGCGACCGGCCACACUAGGACUGAGACACGGCCCAGACUCCUACGGGAGGCAGCAGUGGGGAAUAUUGCACAAUGGGCGAAAGCCUGAUGCAGCGACGCCGCGUGAGGGAUGACGGCCUUCGGGUUGUAAACCUCUUUCAGCAGGGAAGAAGCGAAAGUGACGGUACCUGCAGAAGAAGCACCGGCUAACUACGUG